CAAGAACACUAUGCCUGGCAAAGUUGUCCUUCAGAAAUGAAGAAGAGAUAAAGACAUUCUCAAACAAAAGCUGAGGGACUUCACAAAUCCUGCCUUACAAGGAAUGUUCAAGGGACUUCUACAAGUCAAAACAAAAAGAGUACUAAGUAACAAAAUGAAAACGUAUGAAAGUGUAGAGCUCACUGAUAAAGGUAAAUAUAUGAUCAAAUUUAGAAUAUGCUAAUAUGGUAAUGAUGGUGCAUAAAUCACAUUUAACUCUAGUAUAAAAGUUAAAUUACAAAAUUAUUAAAAUAACUAAAACAAUAAUUUGUUGAUGGAUACACAAUAUUAAAAGAUGUAAAGUAUGGCAUAAGUAGUAUAAAAUGUGGGAGAGAGACAAGAUGUAAGAGUGUAGUUUUGGUAUGUGAUUGAAGUUAAGUUGUUACCAGCUUAAAAUAGACUAUAAUAAAUAUAAUUUUAUGUAUGCUUUAUGGUAAUCACAAAGAAAAAUUCUCUAGUAGAUACAUAAUACAUAGAAAGAAAAGAAUCAAAACAUGCAUUUUUUGUAAAAAAUCAACAAAUCACAAAGGAAGACAGCAUGAGAGGAAAAAAGGAACAAAGAAACUACAAAACAGUCAGAAAACAACAAAAUGGCAGGUAUAAGUCCUUACCUAUCUUAAUUAUUUUCAAAGUAAACUAAUUAAAUUCUCUAAGACAGAGUAGCUGAAUGGAUUUUAAAAAACAGGAGUUAAAAUCCUUUAAAAUUAAAAAGAACAGACUCCAACAGUAUGCUGCCUACUAGAGAUUCCAUUUAGCUUUAAGGACACACACAGACUAAACUUUGUUUAUGAGUUAUAAGAAUUUUUAUGAAGCUUUGGUACAUGAUUGAAGUUGUUACCAGCUUAAAAUAGGCUGUAAUAAAUGUGUUUUAUGUACGCUUCAUGUGAAGUUUUAUGAAGUUUCUACAUACAGGAUCUUGUUAUCUGCAAACACAGAUAAUUUUCUUCAUGCUUUCUGAUUUGGAUUUCUUUCUUUCUUUCUUUCUUUUUUUUAAGGAAAACAUGAUUUAAAUGCGUUUGGAAAGUGUUUUUUAUUUUAUUUUAUUAUUUUUUUUUUUUUAAAGAGAGAGAGUGCAAGUCAGGGAAGUAUACAGGGAGACAGAGGGAGAGAAUCUUAAGCAGACUCCACACUCAGCACACAGCCCAAUGCAGGGCUCGAUCUCACAACAUGAGCCAAACUCAAGAGAUCAUGACAUGAGCCAAACUCAAGAAUUGGGCACUUCACUGACUGAGCCACCCAGGCGCCCCUGAUGUGGAUUACUUUUAUUUAUUUCUAUUGCCUAAUUGUUUUGGCUAGGGCUCCAGUACUAUGUUGAAUAGAGGUGGUGAGAAUGGGUAUCCUUGUCUUGUUCCUGAUCAUCACUGAGUAUAAUGUUAACUGUGGGCUGUUAUAUAUGGUCUAUACUCUGUUGAGGUACAUUCUUGUAUACCUAGUUUAUGAGUAUUAUUUUAUCAUAAAAAGAUGUUGAAUUUUGUCAAAUGUUUUAUAUGCAUAUAUCGAGAUGAUCAUAUGAUUUUUAUCCUUAAUUAUAUUAACGUGGUGUAUCAUGUUUAUGGAUUUCCUUAUGCUGAGCCAUCCUUGCAUCACAGAGAAAAAUCAACUAAUAUUUGACAAGGAUGCCAAGAAUACACAGUGGGGGAAAUUAUAGUCUUUUCCACAAAUGCUGUUGGGGAAAAAUAGAUAUCAUAUGCAAAAAAAUUAAAUUGCACCCUUCCUUUACACCAUCCACAAAAAUCAACUCAAAAUGAAUUAAAGACUUCAACACAAGACCUGAAAUGGUAAAAUUCUUAGAGAAAAACAGAGCAGAUCUUUUUGACAUUGGUCUUGAUGAUGUUUUCUUAGAUAGGACACCAAAAAUACAGGCCACAAAAUCAAAAAUAGACAGAUAAGACUACACCAAGCUUCUGCAAAGCAAAGGAAACAAGAGAAUGAAAAGGCAACCUAUGGAAUGAAAGAAAAUAUUUGCAAAUCAUAUAUCUGAUUUGGGCUAUAUGCCCUUGAUCAACUGAGGUUUAUUAAUUAAUGUAAUUCACCAUACUAAAAGUCUGAGGAAUAAAGACCACUUAAUUAUAUAAAUAAAUGCAGAUAAACCUCAACAAAAUAAUAUAGCCGUUCGUGAUAAAACUCUAAGCAAACUCGGAGUAAAAAUUAACUUCUUUGAGCUGAUAAAGGCAUCUACAAAAGCCCUACAGAUAACAUCAUAUUUAAUGAUGAAAAACUGCUUUGCCACUAACUCAGAACAAAGCAAGUAAGUCUAGUCUCACCACUCCUGUUCAACACCACCCAUCCAGAAAAUCCCAGGGAAUCUACCAAAACAACCUCUUUGAACUAAUAGGUCAUAAGAUAUAAGAUCAACACACAAAUCAAUCUUCAGGACUCCAUCUCCUGUUCUAUUGAUCUAUGUGCUCAUUUUUGUGCCAAUACUAUACUGUUUUGAUUAAUUACAGUUUGUAAUAUACCUUGAAAUCUGGGAUUGUGAUACUUCCAGGUUUGUUGUAUAAUAUUGUAAUAUGUUGUAUAGUGCCAGAUGGUGGUGACCGCAGUUAUGGUAAACAUUGGGUAAUGUGGAGAAUUGUCGAAUCAAUAUUUUUGAAACAGUGCUGACAAUACUGACCCCAUCAUUGACUGUGUGUUCCAGGCCCCUUGGUGAUUAGCUUACAUACCUUGGAAAUGCCCAUCAAGGUAGUACCACAAGCACUAACUGAAGUAGCCGUCAGUUAGGUGCUCGCAAGCCCUUUGAGGAACACGCAGACCCUUUGAGCUCACUACAGUGCCCCUUUUGUGUGGCCCCUCGCUCUAUAAAAUCUGUGGACUAAGGUCUGAAUUUUGUGGAGCGUAACUAUGCAGGUGACAUGGAUCAUCCUCCACCGGAUCCUUCCUGUCAGUAAGUUUCCCUGAGUAAAACUGUGCAAACUGUAUGGAGUGGCCUGCUUUAUUUUCCAGUCUCAAAGUGGCUUCUCAGUUUGGGGGACACUUUCCUGUCUCUUCUCUACCUUCUAACAAUGUUAUAUGAUGUGGGAAUAAUGGGGUUCAGAGCCCAUGGCCAAGAAAGAAUUCUUGAGACAUCUUCAGUGCAAAAAGGUGGUUUUAUUAAAGCACAGAGACAGGACCCAUGGGCAGAGAGAGCUACACUAGGGUUGUGAGCAGUGGCUGAUUAUAUAUUUUCAGAUUGGGAGGGGGUUAGGGAUAGCGUAAGUCUAUAAGGAAUUUUGCAAGCAAGGUUUCCAGGACUUGAAGGGGGCUAGCUGUUGUUAGGAAAAGGUCAUUUAUUACUGUCUAGGGAAACCUCAGUCACAAGACCCUCCAGAUGUAUAUCAGUGGGCCAUAUCCUUGGAGGAUGAUUGCUAACAUCUAUCUUGAGGGGAGGGGACAGAGAUAAAGGAUGUUUCCAAAGGAAUUUUUAUAUGUUAAAGUAGACUUACAGGAUCCUGGGGGGUCAAGAUGAUGUUAAGCUAAGAUUGCCUUUUGCCUUUAUCAAAGUGUUAGCAUCAAGGCAGCUGAGCUCCCAAAGGAAGGUCACUCUGCCUGUUUCAAAGAUUUGUCAGUGAGUUGUAGAUAGUAGGGAAAUUUAACUUGUUCUUAUUGCCUUUGUUUCCCACAUCAUUGUACACUUGAAAUUAACAUAACAUUGAAUGUCAAUUUUACUUCAGUAAUAAUAAAAAAUGUAUCUUCAACUGCA